UUAUAUUUAUAUCUAAAUAAGCUUAUUAAAUGAAAUAAAAUGCAAUAUGUAAAUUCGCGAAUUAGAAUCAGUGUUAGUGCAUAUUUAUCAUUCCGAGACAGGAUACUGUUCAUCGUGCAAAGAUCAACAAAGGCUCUGGCUUAAAUUAAAGAAGAAUCAUUCGUCAACUUCUUGAGGCAGUAUGUUUAUCGUACAAAGGAUCAACAAAGACUCCAAUCAUUAUUGCAAUCGUGUGCGUGGAAAUUGAUGGAGUGUUGUAUCGUUUAAAUAAAAUCAAAAUCGCGAAUUAGAAGCAUCGUUCAUUCGUUAAUUUAAAUACAUCCGCGUUUCGCGAUUUCAAUUUUAGAAACAUAUGUACUUAAAUUGACUGCGAGCAAAGCAGUUAAUCAUAGAUUUAGAAUUUGUUCGUAUAAAAUAUUAUUAUUCUUUUUAAACGAUCACAUGGAUUGUUCGUGUAUUAGAAUCAGUGUAUACAUUUGAAGAUUAUCGAGAGAUUAAUACUUUUCUUUCAUAGAAAAAUAUUGAUCACCAUUAUGAUCGUGUCUUACCAGUCUACAACGACGUUGAGCUAUCUCAUUUUCAAUCUACUUUGAUAUCAAAACUACAUCGUUCUCAACUUCUUACGGAUCAUCCUCCUUUUGACUUACAUAACGGACGAGUG